AGGAUUCUUCAUUGUUGCAGUUUUACCAGUGUUUACCACAGUGACGAGAUAUGAUUGGGAUCUUACAUGUGGGGAACGGAUGGGCUGUUCACCUGCGGUCAGGAGAUCAGUGUAUUUAACUCUCAUGAUGCUGAUCAAUGCUGUUUUGGUCUAUUUCUACAUCACAGCUCUGGAAAAUGAAAAGGAUCGUGUCGGAUGGACCUGUGUGAUUGUGUUUCUCCAGUCUCUCUGGGCACUGGUCAACUUCACAGGCUCAUUUGAUGAUUACGGUACAGUAUAAAUCAUCUUCUCUGAUCAUCUUCUCACUGUCAUGAUUUCACCA